UACGUAGGCAGCAAGCGUUGUUCGGAAUUACUGGGCGUAAAGCGUGCGCAGGCGGUUCGUGAUGUCUGAUGUGAAAGCCCCGGGCUCAACCUGGGAAUUGCAUUGGAAACUAGCGGGCUGGAGUGUGGCAGAGGGGGGUGGAAUUCCACGUGUAGCGGUGAAAUGCGUAGAUAUCUGGAGGAACACCGGUGGCGAAGGCGGCAUCCUGGACCGGCAUUGACGCUGAGGCGCGAAAGCCAGGGGAGCAAACGGG
rnacentral:rRNA from 1 species